rnacentral:rRNA from 1 species
UACGAAGGGUGCUAGCGUUGUUCGGAAUCACUGGGCGUAAAGCGCGCGUAGGCGGUUUAACAAGUCAGGGGUGAAAGCCUGGAGCUCAACUCCAGAACUGCCUUUGAAACUGUUAAACUAGAGUGUCGGAGGGGAUAGCGGAAUUGCUAAUGUAGAGGUGAAAUUCGUAGAUAUUAGCAGGAACACCGGUGGCGAAGGCGGCUAUCUGGACGACAACUGACGCUGAGGCGCGAAAGCGUGGGGAUCAAACAGGAUUAGAUACCC